CUCCCAGUAUGACUAUCUAGUUGGGAAAACAGUCUGCCAACAACAAAAAGAAGAUACAUGAAAAAGCAAGAUUGAACAGAACUCAUUUAUAAGCAAGGGCCUUUGAUUCUGUACUCUGUCCUUCAGCUUCAGAAUUCAAUUUUCCUACUCAAUUUUCUGCUGUUCAAAUGAUGCAGUCAUUUCGUUGCUUGGAUAUAGAUGGUAGGCUCCAGCUCUGAAAGCAACAAAGUUGGUGAAAAUCUCACAGGAAGCCAAGCUCUUCUUUGUCUUUUGUCAAGGCCCUUUGUAGUUUCAAAAUGAUCAAAAGCGAGUGCAGGUGAAAAGCAAACACUGCGGUAUCAUGCUUGAGGAAAGUGACAUCAUCUAUGUGGCAGUGCUUUCCGGGUUCCUUACAGAUGGAGGUUGAAGAAUGCCUCAUCUGAUAUAAAACAAAUGGUUAAAAGUGAAACACACUUGGAUAUUACUGCUGAUCUCAGAAAGAAACUCCAUGGGGCUAAGAAAGAAAAAUUAGAAAUAACAACUAAGCACAAUGCAGAGGUAGAAUUUAUUUUCUUCUCAAAUAAUGUUAAAAGUAGGGUUUGAUUAUUUUAGAUUC